GGAAGAUCAUCGUCCCCGGUGGGGCGGCUGGGCUUCAAACCCAGAUGGGGUCGCCAGCGACCCCCGGCAGGUUCAACUCCUGUGGUCUUCCGCCA
rnacentral:tRNA from 1 species